AUGAAAAGAACUUUGAAAAGAGAGUUAAAGAGUACCUGAAAUUGCUGAAAGGGAAGCGAAGGAAACCAGUGUUGUGUUGAUUCAUUUUUCUCCUGCUGUUUACAACAGGGGCGCUGUGAGUUGAUAUAGGCCAGCAUGGGCUCAACUCGGAACAAAUGGCUUUGUAGGAGGUAGGUCCUUUUCGGACUGAAGACUGCUUUGUGUUGUUCUGGGUUGGACUGAGGCUAGCAAGUGUGAUGCUGGCGAAAUGGUUUUCUUUACCCCGUCUUGAAACACGGACCAAGGAGUCUAACAUAUGUGCAAGUAUAGGAGUGGCAAACUCCCAUGCGUAAUGAAAGUAACAGUGGUAGGACCUUCUGGGGCACUAUCCGCCGGCCACAAUCCUUCGGGAGAAAGGUCUGAGUGUGAGCAUACAUGUUGGGACCCGAAAGAUGGUGAACUAUGCCUGAAUAGGGUGAAGCCAGGGGAAACUYUGGUGGAGGCUCGUAUGCGGWUCUGACGUGCAAAUCGAUCGUCAAAUUUGGGUAUAGGGGCGAAAGACUAAUCGAACCAUCUAGUAGCUGGUUCCCUCCGAAAUUUCCCUCAGGAUAGCUGCAAUCGAAUGUUAGUUUUAUCA
rnacentral:rRNA from 1 species